GUCACAGGAGGGAGGUCGGUCGUGGUGUUGCGGAGGGUGAGUGUGUGAAUCGGGUGUACAGAGCGUAAAGUGUGGGCAGUCGGCCGCGCGGGUAGAGUGUGAAAGUCCCGGGAUGAACUUGGGAGCGGCGUGCGAAACUACGUGGCGUGGGUGUGGCAGAGGAGGGUGGAAUUCCAGGUGUAGCGGUGAAAGGCGUAGGGAGCUGGAGGAACGCCGAUGGCGAAGGCAGCCUUCUGGGCCAACACUGACGCUCAUGCACGAAAGCGUGGGGAGCAAACAGGAUUAGAUACCCUAGUAGUC
rnacentral:rRNA from 1 species